AUACGGAGGAUCCGAGCGUUAUCCGGAUUUAUUGGGUUUAAAGGGUGCGCAGGCGGCCAUUUAAGUCAGCGGUUAAAUCGUGGGGCUCAACCCCAUUCUGCCGUUGAUACUGGGUGGCUUGAUUGCGGUCGAGGUUGGCGGAAUUCGUUGUGUAGCGGUGAAAUGCAUAGAUAUGACGAAGAACACCGAUUGCGUAGGCAGCUGACCAGAUCGCAAAUGACGCUCAUGCACGAAAGUGCGGGGAUCGAACAGGAUUAGAUACCCUGGUAGUCCGCACAGUAAACGAUGAAUACUUGUUUUCGGCGAUAUAAUGUCGGAGGCAAAGCUAAAGCGAUAAGUAUUCCACCUGGGGAGUACGCCGGCAACGGUGAAACUCAAAUGAAUUGACGGG
rnacentral:rRNA from 1 species